UGCAGCUGUGUCAGAUUCAGUGCCCGCCCCACCCAUGGCAGGCACUGGCCAAAAGGCUGCCACAGAAACACUGUAACUCAUGGGCCCUGUUCCUCUCUCCUGGGCCUCAGGGAUAAAUUUUGUUACAGACACCA